AUAGCAAUAGAAUUUCUGAAGACUUAUAACAUUUCUAAACUACAAAAAAUAGCCUAACACCACAAAUGAGAAACAAAAUCCAAUUUUCUUCCUCCUCUUUGGCACGUGAAACAGCAUACCUGGCAAGCAUGGAGCUUGCCAGACAAUCCCACUUUUUGACUUCCCUUUUUCCCUAAACUUAGUCUGGAUACAUUCCUUGGUCUCCAAGCACUUCCCUUCUUCAUCACUCUACCAUAAACUCAUAGAUGUAUCAUGUGAGCUUCUUAAAUUGAACAACAUUCUGCUCAAAUUUACCACAACCAAAAAUCAGUUUCAAAAUCCCUUUGCUUCUUCCCUAUGCUCGAGCCACCGCAAACGACCACCGUCCGCCACUACCGUCACCACCACUUCCCAGCACCAUCACCUCAACCACCUAGCGUCACUCGACCACCGUGCACCACCCCGCAUCACCACCGUAGCCUUGCCUCCCCUCUCCUUAAUUUCCCCUGCUUCCCGCCCUCACCCUGCACAAACUGCAGCCGCGACACCCACUCACUGUCACCACCACCACCAGUCGAGUCCACCACCACCCUUACCCUCGCCGGAAAACUACUGUAACUUUCCCCAACCACCCACGACGCCACCCAAACCCCCCUGUCUUUUUCCCUUACUCGCGCUCCCUCCUCCUUUUCUUGCCUGUACUGCCGCCGCCAACCACUCACCAUCACCGUCGCAUCAUCCCGCACCGCCCAGCCAGCCACCUCCCUUCUUCCUCCUCGUGCUCUCCUCUGCUUCGCCCUCCCCUGUUUCAGCCCCUUUCCCUUCCCCUACUCGUGCCCUUUUUCAGAAACCAAAGAACCAGAAACUUUGGUUUCUAAUUUUGGUCUUAAUUCUCCUUAAAAUCCCACAUUAAAAAUUUGGGCCAUAAUCCCUUUGGGCUUUUGGAAAUUGGACUCGGAGCUCAGGACGAACGAACCAACGAAAACCCUUAGCAAAUCGCGGAAGUGAGGUACCGUUGGGAACGAUGGGAACGAGUAGUGGCGAGGAUUUCACUUCAAUAAUAUUCACUUAGUUUAUGCUUAAUGUUUUAAUAGUUUAAUUAAAGACUUGUAGUAAGUUAUGCACUUUAUUUUGGUAAUAUUAAAGAUUAUUAUAUUAAUUUUUGGGAUUUAA